rnacentral:rRNA from 1 species
AUGAUCUUCCAACAAAAAAUUGAAAAGUUACUCAUGAUCUUCCAGGGCCAAAUGCUGUCAAGACAAAGCAGCCUGACCUGCUUGGAUUCAGUAUUUCCGAAUUUGCUUGCUUGUUGGAAGCAUUCACACAGAUUAUACGUUCUUCGUGUACCUUUUUUCCGUUUUUCGGCACAUGGAUCAACGGUAAUCAAAUUUGUUUUUAAGAAAAAAAGGGAAUAUACGACACUCCUUGAGAAGUUCAUUGUUUGUUUUUUUGCCUACAUAGUAUUUUGCCCUGAAUUCACCUUCUAUUUUAUACUUAAUUUGAAAAUUCGAACCAGAUUUCCUUGUUUGCAUUAA